UGACAUAUGGACUUUCAUUGACAACGACCGCAGUACAGCAACGGCCAUAACCGACAUGACCGGCGGCAUGUUACCAACGGCCAGCGACCGCAAGCCUUUUGUUCCGCUUCCAUCGACCGCCGGACAUCGUCGCACGUGUCCGUAGUCGUCGAAAAACAUCACAGGGCCAAAAACACCUGCCUCGCACCUCAAUUUGAAGGCCAUGAUACUACAAAGUGGAAUAACAGUAUCAGUGCCAAAUCCAAUUAUUUGUUAUUUAUCCAAUUAAACGCAGCCCCAUCGAUUCACCUAAAACCCUCAGCUAUUUCCCCAUCCCAGUGAGCAGCCAGCCAAAUCACUGACAAUUUCAUCAAUUUGCCAGACACGAUUCUGCCAUGCCAAAGCAUUCGAUCGGGGAAUGAAUCAAAGCCAGCCCGCAAUCUUGCCACCAGUUCCAAUUUUUGCCUUAUCACCCGGCACAAAAGGCGGUUCUCUAAUUAGCUGCUGACUGGCUGACUCCCAGACGUCGCCCGACUGGUCAUCCCAGAUUCCCCGUUUCACCGAUUCACAGAUUCACCCAAUCCCAAUCCCCAUACCCAAUACCCAAUCGUCGAAAAACUUUUCAGAGAAGGCGGCGAUGGGAAAGGCAUGCAAUUGGCAUGACAUUGCCAUGUUCCAGCUGUGACAAAGCCCGAAAACCGAAUUGAAAGCCAAGGAGUGGGGCUGCAAGCUAGUGCUGAUGGAAUAGUUCAGCCAUGGCGUUGGGAUCUGACUCGGAGUUGGAGUCGGAGUCGCCACCGGUGUGGCAUGUGGAUGCCAUGUUGAUGCCAGCACGUAAUGAGCGCAUUACGCACUUCGAGGCGGUCGAGGGGACCGAGCCAGGAGCUGCCCGAUAACAAGGCAGCCCUUACAAGCUGCCUUAUUUGCCACUUUUGCACAGGGAGAAAUACGCAUGUGGAAAAGCCAGGAAAUACAAAGAAAAGAAUAGUAUAUAGGUCUAUAAAACUAUACAUAUUUUUAAUGAUUUGCUUUUUGUAUCCGUAGUUUGUUGCUCAUUUAACAAACUGCGUUUACAUUCUAUGUGCUUUAGUAAGAAAAGAUUUUCUGCUUAAAAUAUAGAUUAACUACAUCCUUAA